GUCUGUUUGGCCCCUUUGUUUAUUCAUUAAACUGCUGUUUCCUGUGUGCCAGGCACUGGCGGGGGGAGAGGGGGUGUUGGGGUCACAUGGAAAUCGGCACGUGUGCAGAGCUGGGGAGCUCACAGUUUAAAGGGAGACACACUCACAGAGCGUUUGUGUACUUGGAAUGCCCUGUGAGAGGAGUCUGACCGGGGCAAGUGCUGGGCAGAGGUGGCGCCGAGGAGGGGAUGGCUGGUUCUUCCUGACGGAUUCAAGGGAAGACUCAAAACAGGCUGGAGGCCACUGGUGGAUUUCACGAGGGAGGCUGAGAGCAUCAGCUUUGUCUCUGACACUGAAAAGAUUGCUGGAAAGCAGCCGCGAGUGGCCUGACCCUGCACGCACGGGCCCACCUCCCCAUGCUCCCCUGGCCUGGGGCUUUCUUUCUCACACCAUCAUGAGCUCCCUUCUUCUGGGCUGCCCCCUGCCAUUCCAGCCCUUUCUGACCCCUCGUCUGAAUUUCCCAGGCCGUAGGCAAGCACCCAAAGCAUAUCAUCAGGUGCCCACAAGGCACAGGACACCGGGCCGACACCUGGAGCUGGGGUGGGGUGAGAGCUGCGGAGGAGGGGGCAAGAGCCUCCUUCAUGCCAGGCCUGGACCAUGAAGAGGAAGCCACUUUCUGUCCCCAAGGAGCUCAAGUCUGAUGGGGAAGGAGCCACUGGAGUGGACGGAGCUGUGCCUGGUCUCCCUGCGUCCCAGGCCAAUCCCUCCUCCUGGGUGUGUGAUCUUUGCCUGCUGAAUCCUGUCUUCCAGUUAGCCCGUGAGCUCAGGUAGGAGUCUUCUCUGCAUGUACAGUUAUCCACUCUGUGGCGCAGGACUGUGUGGAAGGGAAACGGAGGCUGCGUGGGAGCCUGGAAGAGGAGGGUGGCACCUAGGCUAUUCCCUCUGCCAGGGAAUUCCUUCGCCCUCGUUCAGAAAACAUCCACCCAUUCGACCAGGUCCUCCUAGACUCCACAGCCCCCGGCCCAGGGAUGAGGAAGGUGCUGCUUGGCCCACCAUGGGCCACAGCCUUCCUGCUCAGCUCAGCCUCGGUGGUGAGUAACGCUGCCCCUGCUGUGCCACUUCCGGGCUCUCUGGGCUCCCACACUCUGCUGUGGAGGCCCAGGCUGGCUCCCUCUCGGGGUGGGUGCUGCCUCUGGAGGGUGGAGGUGAGGGGAAGGGACUGAGGGUGGCCCUGCGGGGCCUUGAUGGAGCAGCAGUGGGGACCAUGCACCUCUGAGGGUCUGGGUGAGUGGGGGCUGCAGCCAGGCCUGGCUGGCCUGGGGGAUCAGGAGGGUCUGCAAACCAAGCUCUGGGGCUCCCUGAGGUUCCAGGAAGAACCCCGCCUGUCCCAGCAAAGGUGGAUCCAGGAGAGGAGUGGGCUUGGCCACCUCGGCUGCCACCAGAAGCUGCCCCCUCAGCUCCUAUCUGUUCCCCUCUGCCCCUGGAACUUCUGAAACCACUUCCCUCCUCCCUGGACUUCUGCAGGCCGAGGUAUGACUGUUCUGUCUCCCGUUAGCAAGGUCUGCAACAUUGCUCUGAGCAGCAUCCUCC
rnacentral:lncRNA from 1 species